GAUGAAGAACGCAGCGAAAUGCGAUACGUAAUGUGAAUUGCAGAAUUCAGUGAAUCAUCGAAUCUUUGAACGCAUAUUGCGCUCUCUGGUAUUCCGGAGAGCAUGCUUGUUUGAGUAUCAGUAAACACCUCAACUUCCAUAUCUUUUUUGAAAUGGGAGUUGGACUUGAGUGAUCCCAACGCCUUUCCUCACCGAAAAGUGGCGGGUUACUUGAAAUGCAGGUGCAGCUGGACUUUUCUCUGAGCUAUAAGCAUAUCUAUUUAGUCUGCCUAAAAAACAGAUUAUUACCUUUGCUGCAGCUAACAUAAAGGAGAUUAGUUCUUGUGCUGACUGAUGCAGGAUUCACAAAGACAGCUUCGGCCGACUUUGUAAACUCGAUCUCAAAUCAAGUAAGACUACCCGCUGAACUUAAGCAUAUCAAUAAGCGGAGGA
rnacentral:misc_RNA from 1 species